rnacentral:rRNA from 1 species
CCCGCACAAGCGGUGGAGCAUGUGGUUUUAAUUCGAUGCAACGCGAAGAACCUUACCUACUCUUGACAUCCAGAGAAUUUGCUAGAGAUAGCUUAGUGCCUUCGGGAACUCUGAGACAGGUGCUGCAUGGCUGUCGUCAGCUCGUGUUGUGAAAUGUUGGGUUAAGUCCCGCAACGAGCGCAACCCUUAUCCUUUGUUGCCAGCGAGUAAUGUCGGGAACUCAAAGGAGACUGCCGGUGAUAAACCGGAGGAAGUGGGGAUGACGUCAAGUCAUCAUGGCCCUUACGAGUAGGGCUACACACGUGCUACAAUGGCAUAUACAAAGAGAAGCGAACUCGCGAGAGCAAGCGGACCUCAUAAAGUAUGUCGUAGUCCGGAUUGGAGUCUGCAACUCGACCCCAUGAAGUCGGAAUCGCUAGUAAUCGUAGAUCAGAAUGCUACGGUGAAUACGUUCCCGGGCCUU